AGUUCGAUUCUGGCUCAGAUUGAACGCUGGCGGGAUGCUUUACACAUGCAAGUCGAACGGCGGCACGGACUUCGGUCUGGUGGCGAGGUGGCGAACGGGUGAGUAAUGUAUCGGAACGUGCCUAUUGGCGGGGAUAACUGCAUGGCGUAGCUAAUGCACAUGCGCCCUUCGGGGGAAAGCAGGGGACCUUCGGGCCUCGUACUAUUAGGCAGCCGAUAUCGGAUUAGCCUAGUUGGUGGAGUAACGGCUCACCAAGGCGACGAUCCGUAGCUGGUUUGAGAGGACGACCAGCCACACUAGGACUGAGACACGGCCCGAACUCCUACAGGGAGGCAGCAGUGGGGAAUUUUGGACAGUAGGGGGAAACCUGAUCCCAGCCAUCCCGCCCGUUGAUACUGAUGAAGGCCUUCAGGUUGUAAAGCACUUUUGGCAGGAAAAACAGCACGGGAUAAUACGAUGCAACUGACGGUACCUGCAGGAAGAUAAGCACCGGCUAACUACGUACCCGGCAGCCGCGGUAUGCAGCCAGGAGUCACCAGCGUUAAUCAGAUUACUGGGCGUAAAGCGUGCGCAGGCGGUUCCGGAAGAAAGAUGUGAAAUCCCAGAGCAACUGGAACUGCAUUUUUAACUACUGAGCUAGAGUGUGUCAGAGGAAGUGGAAUUCCCGUGUAGCAGUGAAAUGCGACAGAUACCCAGAAGAACUUUCGGUGUAACGCGGGCAAUUCUCCUGGAGGAUGCUUACUAACAUCUCAUGCACAAACGUAAAGGAUAAACAGGAUUAGAUACUGGUGGUCGCCUAAACGUUGUCAACUUAAUGCUAGGAACACCAGACAUAGUAUUAUAAUGUUUUAUAUGAAGUUGAUGCCACGUCUCGUGCAGAUAAAACUCAAAGAAUUAACGGAACCAAGCGGCGACAGUGGAUUAAUUCGAUGCAGCAUAACUUACCUUUGACAUCUUGGAAUCCCAGCGAUUUGGAAGUAUCACAGAAAGAACCGGAACACAGGUGCCUGCAUGGCGUCGUCGCUAAUGUCGGCAGAUGUUGGUUUCGUCUGCAACGAGCAUUGCAUGGUUGGCGUAAAGGCACUCUAAUGAGGAGCGCCGGUGACAAACCGGAAAGGGCGAGAACUGACCGAGUCAGAGUCACUCACCGCCUUUAUAGGUGAGCGUUACACGUCAUACAAUGGUCGGGACAGAGGGUCGCCAACCCGCGAGAGAGCCAAUCCCAGAAACCCGAUCGUAGUCCGGAUCUUCGCAGUCAUACGCUCGACUGCGUGGAAGUCGGAAUCGCUAUUAAUCGCGGAUCAGCAUGUCGCGGUGAAUACGUUCCCGGAGUCUUGUACACACCGCCCGUCACACCAUGGGAGUGGGUUUUACCAGAAGUAGUUAGCCUAACCGUAAGGAGGGCGAUUACCACAGUAGGAUUCAUGACUGGGGUGAAAAAGUCGUAACAAGGUAA
rnacentral:rRNA from 1 species